rnacentral:rRNA from 1 species
UACGUAGGGGUGCGAGCGUUAAUCGGAAUUACUGGGCGUAAAGCGUGCGCAGGCUGUUCUGUAAGUCAGAUGUGAAAUCCCCGAGCUCAACUUGGGAACUGCGUUUGAAACUACAGGACUAGAAUAUGUCAGAGGGGGGUAGAAUUCCACGUGUAGCAGUGAAAUGCGUAGAGAUGUGGAGGAAUACCAAUGGCGUAAGGCAGCCCCC